UAGGAGAGGCGUGUCUACACCUGUUUGGUU
rnacentral:piRNA from 1 species